GGCGGGUUCGUCAGCUACGCUCGUAAAGAGCUUGUACGGUAGAAGACGCGUCACGAGUUCGAAUCCUUACCUGGGUAUUAUUUACAAAGAUUAGGAAAAGAAGGAAAGCCAAAAUAUCUUCUCUUAGAAGUAGUGUACAACGGGCAAUGGAUCCCCUUGCCCUAUUGUGUUGUAGUACUUUCUAUGAGUGCUUGGUUAGUACCACCAGUGUUUGUGAUUCCUCCUACAGACUACCGAUCCCGCCCGUGGAGGUUUUAGCCGGUAAAAAUCCGGCACACCUUGUUU
rnacentral:misc_RNA from 1 species